UGUGGGAGCGGGCUUGCUCGCGAUGGCGGUGUGUCAGUCAACAGGAAUAGUGACUGAUCCACCGCCAUCGCGAGCAAGCCCGCUCCCACA
rnacentral:misc_RNA from 1 species